AAGUCGUAACAAGGUUUCCGUAGGUGAACCUGCGGAAGGAUCAUUAACACGUGCUCCACGUACUACCUCCGUGCAUUUGUUUUCAACCUACCUUCGCAUAGCGAGAAAGGAAUCGAGCCAGCUUCAGGAUUUUGAAUGGGCCUUGCAAUGUGCAUGUGCUGCCUGGGUCCGCCACAGACGCCUGAGUUCGCUCGGGUGUCGACGAUUGUAUUUUCGCUGAAGGCAUUUUUAUCAGGCUCUGCUCCCGAUGCGUCCGUUCAAACGCGGGAGUAGGGUCGCCUAUUUUAACCACAUUCACUCUUUUUUGCUAGUUGACUUUUCUCCUGCUGUUGCUGUGUCGCUUGUCGCCUCAGCUCAGCGCGUUUAAUUUAUUUGAACGAAAUCGUACAACUCUUAGCAAUGGAUAUCUCGGUUCUC
rnacentral:misc_RNA from 1 species